AGAAACUAACAAGGAUUCCCCUAGUAACUGCGAGUGAAGCGGGAAAAGCUCAAAUUUAAAAUCUGGUGGCCUUUGGUCAUCCGAGUUGUAAUUUAGAGAAGCGUCUUCCGCGCUGGACCGUGCACAAGUCUCCUGGAAUGGAGCGUCGUAGAGGGUGAGAAUCCCGUCUUUGGCACGGACGCCCAGUGCUUCUGUGAUGCGCUCUCGAARAGUCRAGUUGUUUGGGAAUGCAGCUCAAAAUGGGUGGUGAACUCCAUCUAAAGCUAAAUAUUGGCGAGAGACCGAUAGCGAACAAGUACCGUGAGGGAAAGAUGAAAAGCACUUUGGAAAGAGAGUGAAACAGUACGUGAAAUUGUUGAAAGGGAAACGCUUGAAGUCAGUCGCGUCGUCCGAGACUCAGCCUCGCCUCGGCUUGGUGUACUUCUCGGCCGACGGGUCAGCAUCAAUUUUGCCCCUUGGAUAAUGGCGAGGGAAAUGUGACACCUUUGCGGGUGUGUUAUAGUCUCUAGUCGCAUGCAAGGGUCGGGAUUGAGGAACUCAGCACGCGCCUUCGGGCGUCGGGGUUCGCCCACGAUACGUGCUUAGGAUGUUGGCGUAAUGGCUUUAAACGACCCGUCUUGAAACACGGACCAAGGAGUCUAACAUGCCCGCGAGUGUUCGGGUGGAAAACCCGUGCGCGCAAUGAAAGUGAAAGUUGGGACCUCCGUCGUGGAGGGCACCAACGCCCGGACCAGACCUUCUGUGACGGAUCUGCGGUAGAGCGUGUAUGUUAGGACCCGAAAGAUGGUGAACUAUGCCUGAAUAGGGUGAAGCCAGAGGAAACUCUGGUGGAGGCUCGUAGCGAUUCUGACGUGCAAAUCGAUCGUCAAAUUUGGGUAUAGGGGCGAAAGACUAAUCGAACCAUC
rnacentral:rRNA from 1 species